rnacentral:snRNA from 11 species
GUAGUUUUUACAGGUGGCUUAAAAUUCACAGAAAGUUGUUUUUCCAAGGUGAGGCCCAUCCAUGGAACUCGAGGUUCGCUGACCCCUGUGAGUUGCCCAAUGUGGGAAUCUCCACUGUGUAAUUUGUGUGACAGUAGAGGACUGCUUUCUUGUUCUCCUUUU